rnacentral:tmRNA from 1 species
GGGGGCGUCACGGUUUCGACGGGAUCGAUUGCGGCACAGGAGGCAUGUCGGGGUGUGGGCACCCGUAAUCGCUCGCAAAACAAAAGUUGCCAACGACAAUCUGGCACUUGCUGCUUAAUUAACUAAGUAGCCGUUCUGCUCGGCUUUGCCUGUGGGCUGAGACAGAGCGUCGCACAGCAGGCUGGUUGGGGCGGCUCGGUCCGGGCGGCUUCCAGCGAGAGCAAUCGGACUAGCUUCUGGCGCAUCUUGUCCGUUCUGAGUGCCCGAGGCGAAAACAUGCGGAACCGGACAAAGCAUGAACGCUCCUGGCUGACAGCGAUUUCGGACGCGGGUUCGACUCCCGCCGCCUCCACCA